rnacentral:tRNA from 1 species
GCAGUGGUGGUUCAGCGGUAGAACCCCCACCUUCCGUGUGGGAGGCCCAAGUUCAGUUCCUGGGCAGUGCA